GAUGAAGAACGCAGCGAACGUGCGAAACGUAAUGUGAAUUGCAGAAUUCAGUGAAUCAUCGAAUCUUUGAACGCAUCUUGCGCUCCUUGGUAUUCCGAGGAGCAUGCCUGUUUGAGUGUCGUGAAUACUCUCAACUUCAACCCUUUUUUCGGAAAGGGAGGAAGGUUGGACUUGGGUGUUUGUUGAAGUGCGAGCUUCGACUCAUCCUAAAUGCAUUAGCGAUCUGCCUCGAUCACACACAAUGUGAUAAUUAAAACUAAAGCAUUGUUUAAUGAUCAAGUCGAGACUGCUUCUAACUGUCGCAAGACAAUAACGUGCAUACAUUUGUGCAUGUCAUUUGACCUCAAAUCAGGUAGGACUACCCGCUGAACUUAAGCAUAUCAUAAGCGGAGGA
rnacentral:misc_RNA from 1 species